rnacentral:rRNA from 1 species
UACAGAGGGUGCAAGCGUUGUUCGGAAUUAUUGGGCCUAAAGCAUCCGUAGCCGGUUCUACAAGUCUUCCGUUAAAUCCAGCUGCUUAACAGAUGGGCUGCGGAAGAUACUAUGGAGCUAGGAGGCGGGAGAGGCAAGCGGUACUCGAUGGGUAGGGGUAAAAUCCGUUGAUCCAUUGAAGACCACCAGUGGCGAAGGCGGCUUGCCAGAACGCGCUCGACGGUGAGGGAUGAAAGCUGGGGGAGCAAACCGG